UACGGGGGGAGCAAGCGUUGUUCGGAUUUACUGGGCGUAAAGGGCGCGUAGGCGGUCAGCACAAGUCAGUUGUGAAAUCUCCGGGCUUAACUCGGAAAGGUCAACUGAUACUGUGCGACUAGAGUGCGGAAGGGGCAACUGGAAUUCUCGGUGUAGCGGUGAAAUGCGUAGAUAUCGAGAGGAACACCUGCGGCGAAGGCGGGUUGCUGGGCCGACACUGACGCUGAUGC
rnacentral:rRNA from 1 species